GACGAACGCUGGCGGCGUGCUUAACACAUGCAGGUCGAACGAUGAAACCUAGCUUGCUAGGUCGAUUAGUGGCGAACGGGUGAGUAACACGUGACUAACCUGCCCCUUUCUCUGGGAUAACGCUUCGAAAGGAGUGCUAAUACCGGAUACUCACAUCGAGGCACAUGCCUUGAUGUGGAAAGUUUUUCGGAAAGGGAUGGAGUCGCGGCCUAUCAGCUUGUUGGUGAGGUAACGGCUCACCAAGGCGACGACGGGUAGCCGGCCUGAGAGGGCGACCGGCCAGACUGGGACUGAGACACGGCCCAGACUCCUACGGGAGGCAGCAGUGGGGAAUAUUGCACAAUGGGCGCAAGCCUGAUGCAGCGACGCCGCGUGAGGGAUGAAGGUCUUCGGAUUGUAAACCUCUUUCAGUAGGGACGAAGCGAAAGUGACGGUACCCAAAGAAGAAGCACCGGCUAACUACGUGCCAGCCGCCGCGGUAA
rnacentral:rRNA from 1 species